rnacentral:tRNA from 1 species
GCGGGGGUGCCCGAGCCAGGACAAAGGGCUAGAUCCGUCCAGAGGGGGCGGACUUAAGAUCCGCUGCCGAAGGGCUGCGUGGGUUCGAAUCCCACCCCCCGCA